UUCCCGUGGUUUAUUUUCAUCCGUCACGGUUAUUUUCCCUGAACCAAAGAGGCGAUAGCUUAGGAGUCAGGAGCCCAGCCCGCACACCUCUCUCUUUCCCCUCAGCACCGGAGGCGCGCAACACGGACGCACUGCACCGAUCCCAAGAUGCGCUAGGGCUGGCUCGCCGCUGAUGGCGAUGGCUAUCAAAUGGCAACUACGGCGACGUUGACGCACUUUUUAUCCCCUACCGCUGCCGCCUCCCGAGAUCCCGAGCGCGGAUUGUCGACCUGAUCUGUCGUCAUGCACAUGACGAUGGUGGUGCCGGUCUCAAUCGCCCUGAUUUGGUUUGACUGAGAAUCAUCGAUGUGUAGGCGACAAGCAGAUUUCCUUGGAUGUCUCCUUGCCCCUACCGUGCUCGAUUUCAUUCAAAGGCUUCAGGACCUAUUUGUGCUUUCAGAUGAAGACUGAAUGCACGUGCAAAUACGAUCAGGAUGCAAUCGAGGAAUAUAUGGGACUAUUUCUGCAAUUGUUGUCCCUCCCUAACUCCGUUGAGUCGAUAACCAUAUCAUCCUGUGAUGUAAGCUGGCUUAUGAUCUUUGGACAGAUUUUGGUCUCCUUAACUCUGAUUUCCCGGUAUCCAUUCUUUAUGACCCUCAUUGCCACAACAAAUGAAUUUUCGUUCAUAUUUGUCAUCCAGAUGGGUUAAGGAAGACAAGGUAGUGCACUUCCAGAUGUUUGUCCUCCUCUCCUAGACGAUGUCAGUUUGGUUAUGCACGCAGAAUCUUGUCUUGAUGCCAUGCAUAUUACAAAGGCUUCUAUGGGUCUUGAAGCUUUUGCUUGUAUCAUCUAUUAGAUAUUUUUUCUGAACUCUCUAUGUUAUCCCUCUUUGCACUGACCUAUAAUUUUUGUUUGAGCAGGGACAGUGCAGCGAACACGAGCAAAUAAAUUGGUAGAAGGUGCAGACGACUAUCUGAACCAAGGCUUGUGUAAUAUGUAAAGUGAGUUGCAGAUGCAGUAUCUACCUCUUUGAUAAGUAUUGGGUGUAGGUAAGACACAUCUAAUCUGAAUUGAGAUAUGGAUGGCGUGAAUAGUCUGUAUGUUUGAUUUUCGAUUGAAUGUUGAAUUAUUAUCAACUAGAUCUUCCUCCACCGACAUUACUAGCUCCUCCUUGAAUACCAACUGUCGGAAAGAGAGCAAUGGUACUGUGAUUGUACUGUUUUAUGCCAGGUGUUAAGGAAUACUAUUUGCAAGCAGUUAGCGAGGAACUGACGGUGCAUUAUAUUGUAUAGAAGGUUCUUUUGAUCCUGAAAAGCCAAUUGUGCAUUUAAUGUUCUAUACCUAAUUUGGCCCUCCUGAAUCUUGUCCAUUCCUAAAUGUAUGUCUUUUUAGAUAUUUCAAUAUGAACUACAUACAAAUGUAUGUAGACAUAGUUUAGAGUGUAGAUUCACUUAUUUUGCUACGAAUGUAGUCUAUAUUGGAAUCUCUAAAAAAGACUUAUAUUUGGGAAUGGAGGGAGUACAUAUACAUAUGUUAGUUAUGUCAAGCACUUUUUUAGUCUCAGCUUUUGUAAAUCUUGUGACUUAUCAAUGCCAGCUUACUAGACAAUGCGAAGGAAGCCCAGAAGUGUGAUUCAGUGGAUAUAUUGUUGUUGCAUAUGCCUUGCAUGCAAAUUUAAAUAUGAGGGAUUCAAGGGCUAGGUAGCAUGCUUCUACUUGACUGAAUUUAAGUAGGAGAGAUUAUCAAUUGCAUGCCGAGUCUUGUUGUACUUUCUGGGUUGUUUGAUUUCCUUUGGUGGUUUUUCAAAAUAAUCUUGAUUUAACCAUGAUUUGCUCUGGUGGUUUUUUGAGAUAGUCUUCGUUUCGCAAAGACAUCAUAGUGAUCGCGCCUGGAAUACUCAAUGUCUUUGCUUGUGGUUUGUGUUCUUCAGGUCUUCACUUGCCAUGAUAUAUCUCUGAUUUCUUCUUCUCUGUUCUAAAUAGAGUCUGUUCUGUUUGCACCAAUUCGAGAUAAUGGUCGUAGAAUGCAGCAGCCAAGACAACAAGAUCAAGCUCGACUUAGGACUGAUGACAAAUAAAAUUUGAUUCAGAUGGUUCCUUGCAUCUUCCUCUCAUAAUUAAACCUAAUAAUACAAUUUUUUGUGCUCUUGCUUCUGCAGAUUCUAAAGAAUUGAUUCGUUGUUCGGGCAUUUCGUGCAUUUGGAGUUCACAGGCAAAUCAGAGUUUAUGGCACCCAAACUCUUCACUGGCAAUUUUAACGAGUUGGUGGACAUAUAUUCGUUUUGGAUGUGCAUGCCUGAAAUGAAAAGAAAAUGAUGGAAAAGUCUUGGACCUUGCUUAAUGCUUGGAACUACACCUUUCCAAACAUCCUUGUUGCUUGAUGCCAAGAGGAUUUCUCCAAGAGACUGGAACUAUGUUCCUCUGCAGUUCUCCAUUCAGACAUUUCUAUGGUUAGAGCUUUCUUCUGACAAAAUUGUGCUGGUGUCUGGAUGUAAAAUGUAUUUCCUAUUACAGCUGAGAAAGAGAGUAAGUAAAAAGGGUAAGCCAAGGGCUAGCCUAAAAUUCCAAAAGGACUAUUUCCUGAGGUAUUUGUCGCCGGCCAACCUGUCAUCAACCCAGGGUUGGUCGCUUGAACGACAUUCACUUCGAGGGAGUUCUGAUUAAAAGUUUGUGACUUAUCAUGCA